rnacentral:rRNA from 1 species
CAGUCGAGCGGAUUUAUCCUUCGGGAUAAGUUAGCGGCGGACGGGUGAGUAACACGUAGGUAACCUGCCUAUAAGACUGGGAUAACUAUCGGAAACGAUAGCUAAGACCGGAUAAUUGGUUUUCUCGCAUGAGAGAAUUAUGAAACACGGAGCAAUCUGUGGCUUAUAGAUGGGCCUGCGGCGCAUUAGCUAGUUGGUAGGGUAACGGCCUACCAAGGCGACGAUGCGUAGCCGACCUGAGAGGGUGAACGGCCACACUGGGACUGAGACACGGCCCAGACUCCUACGGGAGGCAGCAGUAGGGAAUCUUCCGCAAUGGACGCAAGUCUGACGGAGCAACGCCGCGUGAGUGAUGAAGGUUUUCGGAUCGUAAAGCUCUGUUGCCCUAGACGAACAGCAAGAGGAGUAACUGCCUUUUGUGUGACGGUAUAGGAGAAGAAAGCCCCGGCUAACUACGUGCCAGCAGCCGCGGUAAUACGUAGGGGGCAAGCGUUGUCCGGAAUUAUUGGGCGUAAAGCGCGCGCAGGCGGUCAAUUAAGUUGGGUGUUUAAGCCCGGGGCUCAACCCCGGUUCGCAUCCAAAACUGGUUGACUUGAGUGUAGGAGAGGAAAGUGGAAUUCCACGUGUAGCGGUGAAAUGCGUAGAGAUGUGGAGGAACACCAGUGGCGAAGGCGACUUUCUGGCCUAUAACUGACGCUGAGGCGCGAAAGCGUGGGGAGCAAACAGGAUUAGAUACCCUGGUAGUCCACGCC